rnacentral:ncRNA from 1 species
GGCCAAGUUUUUAAGGGCGCACGGUGGAUGCCUUGGCACCAGGAACCGAUGAAGGACGUGGGAGGCCACGAUAGGCCCCGGGGAGUCGUCAACCAGGCUUUGAUCCGGGGGUGUCCGAAUGGGGAAACCCGGCAGUCGUCAUGGGCUGUCACCCAUACCUGAACACAUAGGGUAUGUGGAGGGAACGCGGGGAAGUGAAACAUCUCAGUACCCGCAGGAAGAGAAAACAACCGUGAUUCCGGGAGUAGUGGCGAGCGAAACCGGAUGAGGCCAAACCGUAUGCGUGUGAGACCCGGCAGGGGUUGCGUAUACGGGGUUGUGGGAUCUCUCUUCUGUUGUCUGCCGGCAACAGGACGAGUCAGAAACCGUUGAUGUAGGCGAAGGACAUGCGAAAGGUCCGGCGUAGAGGGUAAGACCCCCGUAGUCGAAACAUCAGCGGCUCGUUUGAGAGACACCCAAGUAGCACGGGGCCCGAGAAAUCCCGUGUGAAUCUGGCGGGACCACCCGCCAAGCCUAAAUAUUCCCUGGUGACCGAUAGCGGACAGUACCGUGAGGGAAUGGUGAAAAGUACCGCGGGAGCGGAGUGAAAUAGUACCUGAAACCGUGUGCCUACAAGCCGUGGGAGCGUCGCGCAAGGACUUGUCCUUGCGUCGUGACUGCGUGCCUUUUGAAGAAUGAGCCUGCGAGUUUGCGGUGUGUUGCGAGGUUAACCCGGGUGGGGAAGCCGUAGCGAAAGCGAGUCCGAACAGGGCGACUCAGUAGCAUGCUCAAGACCCGAAGCGGAGUGAUCUAGCCAUGGGCAGGUUGAAGCGGAGGUAAGACUUCGUGGAGGACCGAACCCACCAGGGUUGAAAACCUGGGGGAUGACCUGUGGUUAGGGGUGAAAGGCCAAUCAAACUCCGUGAUAGCUGGUUCUCCCCGAAAUGCAUUUAGGUGCAGCGUCGUGUGUUUCUUGCCGGAGGUAGAGCACUGGAUAGGCGAUGGGCCCUACCGGGUUACUGACCUUAGCCAAACUCCGAAUGCCGGUAAGUGAGAGCGCGGCAGUGAGACUGUGGGGGAUAAGCUCCAUGGUCGAGAGGGAAACAGCCCAGAGCAUCGACUAAGGCCCCCAAGCGUACGCUAAGUGGGAAAGGAUGUGGAGUCGCACAGACAACCAGGAGGUUGGCUUAGAAGCAGCCAUCCUUGAAAGAGUGCGUAAUAGCUCACUGGUCUAGUGAUUCCGCGCCGACAAUGUAGCGGGGCUCAAGCGUACCGCCGAAGUCGUGUCAUU